CCCCUCUCCCUCUAUAAAUUGGCCCUUGGCCGGCCACUCCCUCCUCCUUUGGUCAUUUUUCUCACACUCCACUCCCUCACACUCUCCUCUACCUCUCCCCCACGAAAAUGCUGCUGCCCCUUGCUCCCAUGGCCGGCCAUGGCCAUGGAAGGCACUCCAAGAUGAAGCUCCCUCCUCCCUCAAGCUCCUCCUCACCAUGAGAGCCUCCCUCUCCUUCUUCUCCCCAACCCUAGAUGGUUUUCUCUCCUCUUCCUCUUCAUCCAUUGCUAAGAUUGGAUCUUGAUGCAGGUGCAUGUUGGUCCAAGCAUGGAGAAGCUUGAGCUAUCCUCAGAUCUGAAGUUCUUGAGCAAAAUCCAAAUCGAGUGAUUCAAAGUUCCGCAGAUAGAUACGGAAAAGAUCUACAACUUGGCGUUAGUCUCAUCCUCAAAUUCGUUACGGAUUGUCCGUGGUGAAAGCCCUCUUCAAUACCUUCAUUUUGGCGGUGGUUUCACUUCGAUUGACCUCCUGAAACUGAAAUGGUUCACAGGUCAAGAUCUGGUCAGAUCUGACUUUGUCGAAUUAAACCAGGAGCUUGGGAACGAAUCUUUGAGUGAAACAAAUUGGGGGAUGUUUGGUUUAUACCAUGGUGAUAACCGAGAGAGGCAAUUGCUAAGUUGUGAUGCACUCAUACCUCUACUAGAUGCGAACAAUUCCGGAGAAGAAGAAGAAGUGGAAUUGGACAAGGAUUUUAUUUAUAUUGUUGGGAUUCUUAUAUUGAUAGAGUUGAAGAAGUACAGGGAAAAAUAAGCCAAGGCAAGCCAUUUACUUUGAUCCAUCGUUCUCUAUGUUCUUGAUUGAGAUCUUGCCAUCCUUUGGUCUCUUGGCUCCUUGUGUUCCUUGGGUUUUCGAUUACUUUGUUUCUUUACAUACUUGCCACCAAGUAUGUAAGGUUCUCCUUGUUACUUUGCAUACCUACUCUAAGUAUGCGAAUUACGUUCAUCGCCUUUUGACACCUCUAAUUCUAGUAAAGAUAUGGGUUAACCUCAUUAAAAUUGCUCCACUUUUGAUUAUCUCCAUUUAUGCUCAAUGUGAGUAUGGAUGUCUUUGUCACCCUUCAUGGUAUAAUGGCAACUUUUGGGCUAUUAUACUUCUUAGUUCACACAUAAACUUUAGGUUGGGAAAACCCUCAAGGUUUUACCUUGUUGUAAAAGUUUUUGAUAAAACCUUGGGCAUGAUGUUUUCCCCAAGUGAGGAUUUAUGAAAGGAAAGGAUUUGGUAAAAAUGAUGAGGAUGUGAAAAAGGUUGGGUUUUAUGAAAACUUUGGCGCCUAAGUACUCACCCAUGACAAUUAACUAGCGCAACCACAAUAUCCAAAGUGG